rnacentral:rRNA from 1 species
AAACUCCUUUUCUUGGGAAAGAAUUAUGACGGUACCCAAGGAAUAAGCACCGGCUAACUCCGUGCCAGCAGCCGCGGUAAUACGGAGGGUGCAAGCGUUACUCGGAAUCACUGGGCGUAAAGGACGCGUAGGCGGAUUAUCAAGUCUCUUGUGAAAUCUAACGGCUUAACCGUUAAACUGCUUGGGAAACUGAUAAUCUAGAGUAAGGGAGAGGCAGAUGGAAUUCUUGGUGUAGGGGUAAAAUCCGUAGAGAUCAAGAAGAAUACCCAUUGCGAAAGCGAUCUGCUGGAACUUAACUGACGCUAAUGCGUGAAAGCGUGGGGAGCAAACAGGAUUAGAUACCCUGGUAGUCCACGCCCUAAACGAUGUAUACUAGUUGUUGCUUCGCUAGUCGAGGCAGUAAUGCACCUAACGGAUUAAGUAUACCGCCUGGGGAGUACGGUCGCAAGAUUAAAACUCAAAGGAAUAGACGGGGACCCGCACAAGCGGUGGAGCAUGUGGUUUAAUUCGAAGAUACGCGAAGAACCUUACCCGGACUUGAUAUCUAACAAAUCAUCCAGAGAUGGAAGAGUGUCUGCUUGCAGAAAUGUUAAGACAGGUGCUGCACGGCUGUCGUCAGCUCGUGUCGUGAGAUGUUGGGUUAAGUCCCGCAACGAGCGCAACCCACGUCAUUAGUUGCUAACGGUUCGGCCGAGCACUCUAAUGAGACUGCCUUCGCAAGGAGGAGGAAGGUGUGGACGACGUCAAGUCAUCAUGGCCCUUAUGUCCGG